CGCGUGUACUGGUCCGGCCGGGCCUUUCCCUCUGUGGAACCCCAUGCCCUUCACUGGGUGUGGCGGGGAAACAGGACUUUUACUUUGAAAAAAUUAGAGUGCUCCAGGCAGGCCUAUGCUCGAAUACAUUAGCAUGGAAUAAUAGAAUAGGACGUGUGGUUCUAUUUUGUUGGUUUCUAGGACCGCCGUAAUGAUUAAUAGGGACAGUCGGGGGCAUCAGUAUUCAAUUGUCAGAGGUGAAAUUCUUGGAUUUAUUGAAGACUAACUACUGCGAAAGCAUUUGCCAAGGAUGUUUUCAUUAAUCAGGAACGAAAGUUAGGGGAUCGAAGACGAUCAGAUACCGUCGUAGUCUUAACCAUAAACUAUGCCGACUAGGGAUCGGACGAUGUUACAUUUUUGACGCGUUCGGCACCUUACGAGAAAUCAAAGUGCUUGGGCUCCAGGGGGAGUAUGGUCGCAAGGCUGAAACUUAAAGAAAUUGACGGAAGGGCACCACCAGGGGUGGAGCCUGCGGCUUAAUUUGACUCAACACGGGGAAACUCACCAGGUCCAGACACAAUGAGGAUUGACAGAUUGAGAGCUCUUUCUUGAUUUUGUGGGUGGUGGUGCAUGGCCGUUCUUAGUUGGUGGAGUGAUUUGUCUGGUUAAUUCCGAUAACGGACGAGACCUCGACCUGCUAACUAGCGAACAUUUACAUACAGUAAGUGUUUAGCUUCUUAGAGGGACUUUGUGA
rnacentral:rRNA from 1 species